GAGGUAAGAAGUGAGGGCCCUAUGGUCGCC
rnacentral:sRNA from 1 species